rnacentral:tRNA from 3 species
GGGCACUUAGUUCAGUUGGUUAGAACGCUACAUUCACAUUGUAGAGGUCGCUGGUUCGAGUCCAGUAGUGCCCACCA